ensembl:lncRNA
AUGUAAUGAAUCAUUCUUUAAUGAUUUAAACUCCAAUUUGUUGGGUAAAAGCAUCCUUUCAUCUCAAAUUACCCUCUAUUAAAGAGCUAUGAAAUAAAGCUGUGAACAUCCCCAUUUGAAAGUAACAGAGGUGGAGGGCUGACUACAACAGACCUGCAGUAUCUACAUGGCUGGCAGUGACUUGCUUCUAAAGAAGAGAAUACAGCAGAAGUGAUGUCGCUUCCAAGAGCAGUCUAGGAAACACUGUGGUGUUCCCUCUCAAUCUCUCGCCGGCGAUCUCUGCUGAAUCCAGCGGCUGCAGUGAGCUGCCCUGGAGAUGAGCAAGGAGUUAAGGACUUGAGGACAGCCUGAAGACUGUAGUCAGUGCACCAUUCCAGAGGGAACCGUGUGUAUGAGCUUGGGAGUAGAUCCUGUUCCAGUUCAGCCUUGAGGUGACUGUGACCUGUGGUCACACCUGAGUCACCUGAGUCAGAGGAACCAGCCGAGCUGCCCUGGAUCCCUCACCCAAACCGUCUUUGGAACUUCUCUUGUGUAAGGGCUUCCCUGAUGGCUCAGCAGAAAAGAACCCACCUGCCAAUGCGGGAGAUGCAAGAGACGCAGGUUCAGUUCCUGGGUGGGCAAGAUCUCCUGGAGAAGGAAACGGCACUAAGCAACAACCUUUGUGUAACUGUAACUUCAUGUGCUUAGUCACUCAGUUAUGGCUGACUCUGUGCGACCCCAUGGACUAUGGCCUGCCAGUCUCCUUUGUCCACGGAAUUUUCCAGGCAAGAAUACUGGAAAGGGUUGUCUUCUCCAAACUGUAACUUCAUACCACUGGACAAUGUCUCCCCUCACCUCCUUCCCCCCAUCCUCUGGUGACCAUCAUUCUACUGUCAGUUCUAUACUUUUGCCUAUUUUAUAUUCUUUAAAGAUUAAGUGUCUGUAAACACAAAGAUACUUUAAAUUUGGGGAAAAUAAGGUAUUUGAUAGCAUUUCAUUUUGAAAAACAUAAGAUAAUUGCAUUUUUGUGUCUAUCUGAAGAAUGGGUAAAUAUUUUCAUGUUUGAAUUUAUAUUUUGCUUGAGAUAUAUAUAGUUUAAGCCUUGAUAUAUGUAUCACAAAAUCCUUACUGUUUUUGUUGUAGAUACUCAAGAUUUUCAUUUCUUCUGCCUUUUCAUGGCCAUUGAACAAACCUAAUAGAUACAUUCAUAUUCUUGGAGGGUAUAAUUAAGAAAAAUAUCUGGUGAAAGUUAUAUCCAUUAAGUUGUUUGAUUUUUGUAUGGUAGAACUUCAUUGAAAAUACUGUUUAGAUUAAGUUCUUUAAGUGUCACUAGAUUAUAUCACUAAUAUUAAUAGACUGCUUAAAUUUUAUGGACUGGUACUUAAAUGGCAAUACAGAUUAGGUAUGAUUCAGGUACUUGUUAAAGAAUAUAAAAGGUGAUGAGAAAAAAAAAUCUUCAUGAAGAACCUUCAGUGUCUGUCUAGAUGGUCUAUCAUAUGCUCCUAUGUUAAUCUAACAGAGAAGGCAAUGGCACUCCACUCCAGUACUCUUGCCUGGAAAAUCCCAUGGAUGGAGGAGCCUGGUGGGCUGCAAUCCAUGGGGUCACUAAGAGUCAGAUAUGACUGAGCGACUUCACUUUCAAUUUUCACUUUCAUGCAUUGGAGAAGGAAAUGGCAACCCACUCCACUGUUCUUGCCUGAAGAAUCCCAGGGAUGGGAGAGCCUGGUAGGCUGCUAUCUAUGGGGUCGCACAGAGUCGGACACGACUGAAGCAACUUAGCAGCAGCAGCAGCAGCAUGUUAAUCUAAAGCAGCAUAACUUAACUUUUGAGGUUUAUCCAUUGACCAUCAUGUUGAACUGUAGUAACUGGAUUAUCUGUGGCAUCACGGCUUUGACUUAUGCUGAGGUCCAAUAUGAGGAUUUGUGUUAGGAAGCACCUUUAUAAAAUUUAUCAUUUUACUCUAAGGAUAUUAUUUAGGACAUAUGUUAUUCAACAGGAUCCUGUUUGUGAGAACUGACAGAAGAAGUUAGGUUUUAUUUUUAGUUCCUGAGGUUGCUGAGCAUUUCCUGAAUAGUUGAUUUAUCUUGAGGUUUCCAUUAAUUAUGUAACUGAGCAAAUUCCAAAUUAAGAUGACAAUGACCAAGGAAAAUUUUCAAAGGGCACAAUCUCAGGCCUUUCCCCAGAUAUGCUGAAUUAGAAUAUGGAGGCUACAGGUCCUAAAAAUUUGUGGUUUUUGUGAAGCUCUCCAGGCGACUGCCUGUGAUCAGAUGUUGAAAAUCAUUGAAGUAAAUAAUCAAGUUUUCCAUUUCUCAUUGCCAGUUAGAAAACUUGAGGUCAAGUUGUAAUCUACACUUAAUGAGCCCAUGUGAUUUCAUGUUAAGCAGAUAUUUUUUAAAUCUGCUUAUUUAAAAUGUAUCCUACUUUGAUUUCUCUUUGCCUUAAUUUUAGUAUUAUUUUCUACUUCAUAUUCUAUUUCAUUUUCUGUCUGCCAAUCCAGAUAUAGUGGAAAAUCAGAGUAUAACUUUACUACAAGCCCCCCCAUCCCCAGUUCUGCAUCCUGGGAUUCAACCAGCCUGUGUGCAUGUGUGACACAUAAGUGCUCAGUCAUCUCUGACUCUUUGUGACCCCAUGAACUAUAGCCCACCAGGCUCCUCUGUUCAUGGGAUUUUCCAAGCAAGUGUACUGGAGUAGGUUGCCAUUUCCUUCUCCAGGUAUCUUCCUGACCCAGGAAUCAAACCCGUGUCUCUUGCCUCUCUUGCAUUGACAGGUGAAUUCUUUACUUCUGUGCCACCUGGGACACUCUCAACCAACCUGGGAUGUUGAUAAAUAUAGUUAAUCCUGGUGAACAUGGGUUUGAAUUUUGUGGUCCAUUUUAACAUAGAUUUUCUUUUUUAAGUAAAAACAGUACUAUAUAAUUGGUAGUUGGUUGAAUUCAUGGAUGAGGAACUGCACAUACCGAAGGCCCAGUCUGGAACUUGAGCACCCUGAGAUUUUGGUAUUGACAGCACGUCCUGGAACCAGUUUCCUGUGGAUACAAAGGGAUGAUUGUAGUUCACUCCUUUUUUACAGCCAAAUAGUAAUCUAUUUUCAAAAAUAUAUCAAAAGUUUCUUAAUCAUUUAUCUGUUGAUGGACAUUUGAGUUCUUUCCAGUUUGUGUAUUUUGAAGGAAUGGUCUUGUAGACGUCUUCUCUGAUCAGUAUUUUGAUUUUUCUUAGGUAAUAUCCUAGGAGAAGAAUUGUUGGGUUACAGAGUAGCUCUCUAUUUAACAUUUUUAAAACUGCUUUUCCAAAGUGGUAGUAUCAUUUUACACUCUCACCUGCACAAUAUGAAAAUUCCAUGUGCUCAAUGGCCUUGCCAAUGAUUGAAACUUGUUAGUCUUUUGCAAAUUAGGAGAUAUAAUAAUAUUUCACUGUGGCUUGAAUUUUCAUUUCCUUCAUGUUUUAAGGAUGCUGAGAACAUUUUCAUGUACUUGGUCAUUUGGAUGUCCUCCUCAGUAAAGUGUCUUUUCAAAUUUUGGUCAAUCUUUAUUAGCUUGUUUUUAUUUUAUUACAUUAAAUGAGUUUUUUCCUUUAAUAUAUUCUGGAU